rnacentral:rRNA from 1 species
AGAGUUUGAUCCUGGCUCAGAUUGAACGCUGGCGGUAUGCUUAACACAUGCAAGUCGAACGGUAGCAGGCCUUCGGGUGCUGACGAGUGGCGGACGGGUGAGUAAGGCAUAGGAAUCUGCCUCGUAGUGGGGGACAACUUAGGGAAACUUAAGCUAAUACCGCAUACGCCCUGAGGGGGAAAGUGGGGGACCGUAAGGCCUCACGCUAUGAGAUGAGCCUAUGUUGGAUUAGCUAGUUGGUAGGGUAAAGGCCUACCAAGGCGACGAUCCAUAGCUGGUCUGAGAGGAUGAUCAGCCACACUGGGACUGAGACACGGCCCAGACUCCUACGGGAGGCAGCAGUGGGGAAUAUUGGACAAUGGGCGCAAGCCUGAUCUAGCAAUACCGCGUGUGUGAAGAAGGCCUGAGGGUUGUAAAGCACUUUCAAUAGGGAGGAAAAAGCGUAGGCUAAUACCCUGCGUAUUGACAUUACCUAUACAAGAGGCACCGGCUAACUCCGUGCCAGCAGCCGCGGUAAUACGGAGGGUGCGAGCGUUAAUCGGAAUUACUGGGCGUAAAGCGUGCGUAGGCGGCCUGUUAAGUCAGAUGUGAAAGCCCUGGGCUCAACCUGGGAACGGCAUUUGAAACUGGCAAGCUAGAGUUAGGUAGAGGGGAGUGGAAUUUCAGGUGUAGCGGUGAAAUGCGUAGAUAUCUGAAAGGAACACCAGUGGCGAAGGCGGCUCCCUGGACCCAAACUGACGCUGAGGUACGAAAAGCGUGGGUAGCAAACAGAUUAGAUACCCUGGUAGUCCACGCUGUAA